rnacentral:rRNA from 1 species
AGUAACACGUGGAUAACCUACCUAUAAGACUGGGAUAACUUCGGGAAACCGGAGCUAAUACCGGAUAAUAUAUUGAACCGCAUGGUUCAAUAGUGAAAGACGGUUUUGCUGUCACUUAUAGAUGGAUCCGNGCCGCAUUAGCUAGUUGGUAAGGUAACGGCUUACCAAGGCAACGAUGCGUAGCCGACCUGAGAGGGUGAUCGGCCACACUGGAACUGAGACACGGUCCAGACUCCUACGGGAGGCAGCAGCU